UACGAAGGGGGCUAGCGUUGCUCGGAAUCACUGGGCGUAAAGGGUGCGUAGGCGGGUCUUUUAAGUCAGGGGUGAAAUCCUGGAGCUCAACUCCAGAACUGCCCUUGAUACUGAGGAUCUUGAGUCCGGGAGAGGUGAGUGGAACUGCGAGUGUAGAGGUGAAAUUCGUAGAUAUUCGCAAGAACACUAGUGGCGAAGGCGGCUCACUGGCCCGGUACUGACGCUGAGGCACGAAAGCGUGGGGAGCAAACAGG
rnacentral:rRNA from 1 species